rnacentral:rRNA from 1 species
GUCACCGAGAAGCUGACUCGCACCAACUACAUCCUCUGGCGGACUCAAGUCACGCCGCAGCUACGUGGUGCGGGAUUCUUCGGCUACGUGGACGGCUCCAUGCCUGAGCCGGCCAAACUCGUCGUCACCAAGGACAAGGACGGGAAUGAGGACAAUUCACUGAAUCCCCUUCAUCCAGUCUGGAUCCGUGAGGAACAGCAGUUACUCGGAUACCUUCUGAAUAAUCUCUCCAAGGAGGUACUUGUGCAGGUCACCACGAUCGAUCACGCGCAAGACCUCUGGACAACACUGGAGAACAUGUUUUCAUCCCAGUCCCUGUCUCGCGUCAACAACAUCCGUGUCACCCUCGCCAAUGCGCAGAAGGGGACGCAGCCCAUGGCAAGCUUCUUCUGGCACAUGCGCUCACUGUCAGAUGAGCUCGCGGCGGCUGGCAAGCCGCUCGGAGACGAUGAACUCGUCUCCUACAUCAUCGCCGCCCUCGACAUGGAGUACCAGCCUCUCGUCUCUGCGGUCGACGCCCGCACCACGCCAGUCUCGCUCGACGACCUUUUCGCCAUGAUCAGCAACUUCGACCAGCGGGUUGCCCUCUACCAAGGGGGUCACUCCGGCGGCGGCUUCAAGUCCUCCGCCAACGCGGCCAUGCGCGGUCGUGGUGGCGGUUCACAUCAUAGGGGGCGCGGCAGGGGCAGGCACAACGGUGGCCCCAACACCAGCAACAGCAACCCCCAUGGCAACAACGGUGGUGGCGGACGACCCUCCUUCAACAACAACCAGGGCCACUGUUGGGUUUCGUAG